CCUCCAAACGGGGAGCAUGUGCACGCUCAGUUCACACAUCCACUCACACCUGUGCACCCCUCUGUAGUUCUGUGGUCUGAAAGGCACAUGCCGUCUUCCUCCCAUAGUUCUACGUCUUUACACACACACCGUAGCAAAGUCUUAUGGAAUGUGCGCAGCGUUUAACGCAAUAUAAUACAACUUUCAGCAACGGAUCUCUUGGCUCUCGCAUCGAUGAAGAACGCAGCGAAAUGCGAUAAGUAAUGUGAAUUGCAGAAUUCAGUGAAUCAUCGAAUCUUUGAACGCACCUUGCGCCCCUUGGUUAUUCCGAGGGGCAUGCCUGUUUGAGUAUCAUGAACACCUCAACCCUCAUGGUUUGCUGUGAUGGGCUUGGACUCUGGGGGUUUUGCUGGCCGUGUGGUUGGCUCCUCUCAAAUGAAUCAGCUUGCCAGUGUUUGGUGGCAUCAGGGGUGUGAUAACUGUCUACGCUCAUGAUUGUCCACCAGGUGGCCUUCAGCAAUGAAGGUUCUCUGGAGCUUACAAACGUCUCC
rnacentral:misc_RNA from 1 species